AAGUAGCUUGAGAGGGACACAUGAUCAAAGGUGUGUGUGUGCCUGUAUGUGUGUGUGUGAAUGUUUAAAGGGUGGCAGAUUUAUGAACUUGAGAAAAACCAGUAAAGGAAAGAGAGUAAAUAAAGCCAAUAGGCAGAGAGGCUUAAAUAUGGACAAUUGACAUUUGGCUUUAUUUUUUAGUUUUAGAUUUGAAAAAUGAUUUUUAAAAAAUGAACAGAUGACAGUAGGUGGGUAUAAGGUGGAGGACAGCAUGCUGGAUUGGAGAACCUGGGGUCUAGUACCUGUGCUGCUGCUCACUAACUAUGUGAGCAUCAUCAAGUUAUGGAUCUGCUCUGAGCCUUCAUCUGUUCAUGCAAGACCUGGCAAUGUCACUCGGGUGAUCACCGCUUCAGACCUGGCCGACCAGGGAUUACUGGCUUGUUAUCAUGUUGGCCUUAUGAAUGGAGCCAUGCACAGCUCUGUCCUCCAGCCUGUGACGCGGCUGCGCUUCCCAGACUCUCUAUUUCAGAGCUUCAACCAGUCACACCCACCAGAAACCAGAUAACCAUCCUCAGCGUCUCCUGUAUUCCUCUUGCCAGAGUGUCAGCUGUUUGAAUUUUGCCACCAACACAACCUCUCUCCUGGGUCCCCAUGCUCUUGCUAUGCUCAUUGCUCUAACUACACAGACAACAGCCUCCUCCUCCUCCUCCUCCUUCCCCUCCACCCCCCCACUUCUUCCUUCAUAUCCACACCCUGCUGCCAGGGUGAGGUGUGGAGUGGGUCACUCGAGGUCCAGUUUUGGCUUCCAAUGUCUCUAGAAUCUUCUCUCUCAUCUCUCCCACUUUCAUGUCUGGAUUCUCACCAACCGUUGGUGGUUCUGGUCCAUCUCUCUAGUUGUGCUUACUUCUGCCUCUCAUGAACUGUGCAUGUUGAAUGUCUCUUUCCUUUUGAAGUUUUCUAGCCCAAUCUCUCCAAUCAACUAAGGGAAGGAAUGGAUAAUUUCAUUGUCCCACUCCUCUAGUUGCACAGAUUAUACAUAUUGUAGGAUCACAUCGGUCAUGCAGUCAUACAUGUACAUGAAAAAUAAAAAUGAAUGCAAAAAUUCCAUGAUGAGUAAAACAGCAACAUUUUAACUGAAGACAGAAUCCUGUUCCAUGCUUGCUCAACCCUGCCUCAUUCACCUCAUCUGAAUCCUGGCCCUGCCCAGGAGCUUAAUCAAGAAGGAAUGACUGUAUUGCAUGAUGAGAAAUCCACAGAAAGCAGAGGGCAGGUGCCGGACAUCAAGGACUGGGUCCCUUACUUCUUCUGUCCUGCCAUCUCAGUAUCAGCUUCAGCUGGGCUGAUUCUCUGUGCUGUUGGAACUUGCCAAAACUCCUAGGAAUCACAUCUAGAGGUGAUUGCACCCAGAGACAAAAAGAGGAAGAUUCCUCUUCCUUUCCUUGGAAGACCUCCCCUCAUAGCUUAUUAGAAAAAUGAAUUCCUUGCCUAUCCUCCCUGGUCCCUUCCAAGGGGAAGGGGGCUCCUAUGACUCAUAUACCCCUGAUUUGGUAUAUGAAUAGGGUGGGGAUGGAUAGCUAUAUAAUUUUCAGGGCCUAGCACAAUGACAAUGUGUAAGCACCUUGUUGAAGAAUUAAGAAUUUUAAGAUGGUGGCAACAGAGCAUUAAACCUAGGGUGGGGAACUGCGAAAGUCACAUGGCCAUGAAACUGGCUCUGACAUAGGGCUUCCUUCCUUAAUUAAGCAAGAAUUAAACAAGGAGGAAGUGGGUGUGUAGGGCGUAUCCAUUUUUUCCCUACUGAGUACAUGUCCAUCAUAUAUCAAAUUCUUACGUAUACAUGGAUCUGUUUCAAGACUUUCUUUUUUGCGAUGUUUUAUUUGUUUAUUUUUGUGCUAAUACCUAUUCAUGUACUGAGUUAGUUUGCUUCUUUUAUUUCUUUUUGGUGGUGCUGGGGAUUGAACUUCAGGGCUCUCUAACACUGUGCUACA